rnacentral:lncRNA from 1 species
AUUACUUAAGACCAAUGUAGAUGCUAGAAUCUAUUUCUGGUAACGCGUUAAACUCAUAUAUCUCUAUUAUUGCCAUUGAGGUGUGAUUUAACCGGAAACCUGGAUUGACAACUAUAUAUUAUAAUCCUAACUCUGUUGCAAACUUAUAUUAUAUUCAUCCAAUCCAAUGAUGGUAUUCAAUUCAAUCAAAAAAAUAAUAAAAAAAUGAUGGUAUUCAAUUCAAUCAAAUUCCCAAAGAAACAAGAUACAAGUUGAAUUAUUGAUAUUGCACGACACCAGUGACAAUCAUAUAGCAGUCCCCACACUCAUCAGAUCAAAGCCAAAACCACAAAACAAUAACAUCAUUAUCGAAUGUUCCCUAUCGAUCCUAAAUCAAUAAUCUCCUCUUUUUUUUUUUUUUUUUUUUUUUCUCGACAUCAAUAAUCUCCUCUGAGAUAUUUUUUUUCUUCUUCUUAUAAAUCAAUAAUCAUAAGCCUGUCUUAAAAAUAUUAAUUACUUGAUCGAGUUAACAAGAAGAGAUUACUUGGAAUCAAAGGACUAGAAAUAUGUAACCAACAAAAAUUCAGAAAAC